UACAGAGGGUGCAAGCGUUAAUCGGAAUUACUGGGCGUAAAGGGCAUGUAGGUGGCGAGGAAAGUUUGAUGUGAAAUCCCUGGGCUUAACCUGGGAAUUGCGUUGAAGAGUGCCUUGCUAGAGUCGGACAGAGGGUCGUGGAAUUUCCGGUGUAGCAGUGAAAUGCGUAGAGAUCGGAAAGAACACCAGUGGCGAAGGCGGCGAUCUGGGUCCAGACUGACACUGAGGUGCGAAAGCGUGGGGAGCAAACAGG
rnacentral:rRNA from 1 species